AAUGAGCAAGCAGCUCAAACCCUGUUAGUGAUCUGUAACAGAAGGCAGCUUCUGUUUUCCAUCUUUCUCAUACAGGGAGUCACUUCAUUUGAAAUUAGAACUUUCAGUUGCUUUGCUUCAAGAGAAUUUGUGUGUAAGCAGGGCUUGAGCAGCAUGUAAAACUAGCAGUCAGCCUCUCCAGGUGAAGAAAUCUCAGCACACAGAGCCAUCGCAGCUUUCCGUGGGCACUACGCAUGUUUGCUCUGAUAAACAAGGAGCGGUUGUCAUUGGGAGACUGCAAGCAAAUAUCAGCAGGAGCUGCACAUGUGAUGUUCGUUCUUGGAAGGCUGAUCAGCCUCACUGUAACAAACACGUCUUUAUCAGACCUUCCAUCUAGAGAAUAACAUGACCUCUCUGUGGUGAAGAUGUCAGUUUAGGUUAGAGGGAAACAAACAAAAGACAACACAAGAAGAGCUCUGGCUUUCUGGGUCAUCUGCAGAUGCUCACAAACUCUCCCGGGCUCCUUCCCGCAGCUUCAGGAGCAGCAGUGCAAAGCUGGUGAUGGCACAUUGAGGUGGGUUUCACUUCAGUGGGUGAGGGAUUUCCACAGGUCUCCAUCUGGGCUGGUAUCGACCACGUUCCUCCUGCAGGAUGAAUCAGGCCUAUCUCAUUCUGCAGUAGGAAUGACAUCCCCACGGAGCAGGAAAAUGAAACCACCUGCAAGCCUUGCAACACCUCCGUUUAAAGGAAGGUUUUCUGCACAUAGGAGGAGUUGGAAAAGAAAGAGGGAGGAAGUUGGUCCAUGGCAGAUAAGCAGACAAGCUGAUGUUCUUCCCAAGCGCAAUCUCUCUCUUUCAUCCCUCCCACUCCUACACUGAGAUACAUACACACUUCACUGCCAUCCCCUUUAAAGCAUGGGGAGCUUGUGGUCUUACUGAGAUGGCACCUGAGAAGUUUUUCACAUGUGCCCUUUUUGGGUGAUAUUGAGGAUAAUGCAGUGUGUGAAUGGUUGAGCUGGAUAUGACAUGCAGCAUUGCUAUUUGCUGCUGUCGUUCCCAAAUUCAAGCCAGUUCAAGCCUGUGCUUUCAUUGCAGCAGGGAAGGAUUCACCCCUGCUGUGUCUUCGGGGGCUGGAACCAUUGGGAACGUAUGGGUAGGGAUGAAGGCUGAGAGCCCGGUGAUUUUACUCGUUCACCUCUUUGUCAGGUACUUUCCUCAGAGGAAAUCAUUCAGCUUCCUGUGUCUUUACUGUAAAUUACAUGCUGUGGAGAGGAAAGAGAGAGCAAGACAGACAGACAGGAAAAAAAAGGCACAGCGCAGGGGUGGUUCCAGGGCAGACCAUCCCUUCUGCCGGCACUUCUGCAUCUCCCAUGGCCUGAGGUUGUGCAGAAGGGGUUACAGACAGCAGCUAACCCCAGAUUUUGUCCACUGCUUAAAGUGAAACUGCUUUAAGACUGAAAGUGCUCGCUUCCUCCCCGCCCUUCCCCUGCCUCUUUACUUUUACUUUACUGGCUGCCUUGCCCUUCUAUUUCUGUAUCUGGCAGAGAGAGAGAGAAGCAAUGUGUUUGGUCCGAGUGGAAGGAACGAUUCCUGCCUGUGUCACUAGAGAGCAGAAUUAUCCAGAUGUAUUCCUGAGGAGAAUUUCCACUUCUUCAUCAAACCCACUGCACAGCGUUGGGCUUUGGGAAGGGCUGGGACUUUUUUAUUUAAUAAGACAUUGCAGGUUUCAAUGCAAACAGGAUGCUGAUUGCAAAGAGGGCAUUUAGCCAAAAACGUUAUCUUCCCUAGAAAAAAAAGGGUUUGAAGGGAAAUUUUGAAGCCCCCACAGAGUAGUUUCUAGCCCAUUAUGACAGAUCCACAAAGUGCAACUGGCUGAGAUAAAC
ensembl:lncRNA